rnacentral:miRNA from 1 species
ACUUGAUGCUGUUUAUGACGUCGAAUAUCGACGUCAUAAACACCGAACGUGAUGGUGUUUAUGACGUCGAAUAUCGAUCAAGUUUGGUGUUUAUGACGUCGAUAUUCGACGUCAUAAACACGA